CCACAUCUCAUUGAAACACCGUUUCUCGUACGAUAACCAUCACCGAAGGUAAGCAAGGGCGAGCCUGGUCAGUACCUAGAUGGGUAACCUCUUGAGAAUACCAGAUGCUGUAAG